GCCGGAAUGUUGGAAUGGUAGACAAAGCAGACUCAAAAUCUGCCGCGGGCAACCGUGUGAGAGUUCAAGUCUCUCUUCCGGUA
rnacentral:tRNA from 1 species